rnacentral:rRNA from 1 species
UGGGGAAUAUUGGACAAUGGGCGCAAGCCUGAUCCAGCCAUGCCGCGUGUGUGAAGAAGGCCUUCGGGUUGUAAAGCACUUUUGUCCGGAAAGAAAUCCUGUCGGCUAAUACCCGGCGGGGAUGACGGUACCGGAAGAAUAAGCACCGGCUAACUUCGUGCCAGCAGCCGCGGUAAUACGAAGGGUGCAAGCGUUACUCGGAAUUACUGGGCGUAAAGCGUGCGUAGGUGGUUUGUUAAGUCUGAUGUGAAAGCCCUGGGCUCAACCUGGGAACUGCAUUGGAUACUGGCUUACUAGAGUGCGGUAGAGGGUGGCGGAAUUCCCGGUGUAGCAGUGAAAUGCGUAGAUAUCGGGAAGGAACAUCCGUGGCGAAGGCGGCCACCUGGACCAGCACUGACACUGAGGCACGAAAAGCGUGGGGAGCAAAACAGGAUUAGAUACCCUGGUAGUCCACGCCCUAAAACGAUGCGAACUGGAUGUUGGGAGCAACUAGGCUCUCAGUAUCGAAGCUAACGCGUUAAGUUCGCCGCCUGGGAAGUACGGUCGCAAGACUG